rnacentral:rRNA from 1 species
UUUAAUUUAAAUUACUUUGGAGUAGUAUGAGUUAUAGUCUUUAAACUUAAAAGAUUUGGCGGUAUUUUAUCUUAUUAGAGGAACUUGUUUAUUAAUUGAUAAUCCACAACUAUUAUUUACUUUAAUUAAAAAUAUUUGUAUACCGCUGUCAUGAAUAUAUUAAAAAAUUAAUUUUCUAUUUGUUGUUAUUUAAUUUAUGUUAGGUCAAGGUGCAGUUUAUUGAAGAGUUAAUGAGUUACUUUAAAUAAGAUGAAUGGAAAUUUAAUAUUUAAUUUAAAAUAAAAAAGGAUUUAAAAGUAAAUAUAUUUAUAGUAAUAAAAUGAAUUUAGAUUCUAAAAUAUGU